GAGGAUGCGAGCGUUAUCCGGAUUUAUUGGGUUUAAAGGGUGCGUAGGCGGUCCGUUAAGUCAGCGGUAAAAGCCCGGGGCUCAACCCCGGCGAGCCGUUGAAACUGGGGGGCUAGAGACGGCGAGAAGUACGCGGAAUGCGCGGUGUAGCGGUGAAAUGCAUAGAUAUCGCGCAGAACUCCGAUUGCGAAGGCAGCGUACCGGCGCCGGACUGACGCUGAGGCACGAAAGCGUGGGUAUCGAAC
rnacentral:rRNA from 1 species